rnacentral:lncRNA from 1 species
GAGUGCAGGGGCAGUACCCCCUUGCAAGUGUUUCCAGGCACAGAAGAACUUGUGAAAGGACUUUGAUGGAAGUGCUGGCCUCAACCUCUGAACCUGAGUGAAUCCAGGCCUGUCCCUGGGCCAGGCAGCCGGGCCCAUUCACAGCUCACCAUCUUAGCUUGAACACUCUCCAGGCAGGAGUCCAGGGUGGCAGCGGUUUCCUCAACUCAUCCUUUGCCUUGUUUCUGAGCCUGGCCCUUAUCUCCACCAAGGAGACACAAAAGCACAGCCUCCCACCAGGUAUUGGUACCUUCCCUUGCCUGAGACUUGGGCGUUUCUGGGGAUGAGGCUGUGGCUGGGGGCAGUAGCCUGAGAUCCACUCUCUGGCCCGGGCUUCUCCCACAAGGCCCUGAGAUAUCCUCAUAACCCUCCCUGCAGCCAAAUGGGCUCUGUGACAUGGCCCUGCAAAGAGGCAGCAGCCCCUGCUGCAGUGGGAGAUAAGAGGCUCCUGAGGCCCGGCUGGCCACACACAUGUCCUUCAAGUUCCUAGUAACGAUGGUCCACGCUUCUACCCCCUCUCUUGCCCUGGCUAGCUAGUGUCCCCCUACCCUUUAGCCAGGGUCCCCAUCAGCUGCACCAUGCCCUGUAGACACCUCUCUUCCACUGUCCACCCUCCACCCUCACCAGGUCCAUCUAUUUGCCCACACUUAAUUCUGUAAGCCACGUGGUGAUGCUUCCAAAGAGCCUCCUGGUAGCUGGGAUCACAGUGCCCCAGGGCGGGCAGCAUCGCAGCAAGGCACAGAACAGCCUCCCGGGCGGCAUGCGCAGGAGCUUGGCACUUGCUGGGAGCCUCAGCAGGUCAUUUCAGUACCACGGGGUGUUGGAGAGGGGCACUAACUCUCCACCAGGCUGGUGUGAGGGUAAAAUGAGUGUGCAGGCAAAGGCAUUUGCAGACCAUAGAGCAAUGUGGGGGGUGCAGCAGUGCCCUGGCCUUUCCUCCUAUUUGCUGAUCUCUCCAGGAAAUCCUGAUUCUUUGUCAGCCCUGCUGCCAAGAGACAAGCAGGACCAGAGACUGCAGGGAAAUGACUGACUUGAUUGACUCCAGCCAGGGCUGGGGCAACGGAGACUGCAGGGUCUGAAGGGCCUCCCUGGUGCCCAUUGCCCCAGAUCAUCAGCCUUGUUUGUGUCUGCCAUGGUGAUGGGCUCCACACUCCGUGAACUUAUAACCUUCUCUUCUCCCAGUUCAGGCCCAGACUGAGAUGCAAGGUGGGACUGCAUAUGCUGAGAAAGUGCUGGUGUAGCGCCCUCCUGCUUUUCUCUGUACCAAAGUAGAACAUGUGCAGGGGCAAAUAGGUAAGUAUCACUGGGCCGGGCGUGGUGGCUCACGCCUGUAAUCCCAGCACUUUGGGAGGCCAAGGCAAAUGGAUCACUUGAGGUCAGGAGUUUGAGACCAGCCUGGCCAACAUGGCGACACCCCAUCCCUACAAAAAAGAAGUUAGCCGGGUGUGAUGGUGCCUGCCUGUAUUCACAGCUACUCGGGAGGCUGAGACAUGAGAACUGUCUGAACGUGGGAGGCGGAGGUUGCAGUGAGCUGAGAUCACGCCACUUCAUUCCAGCCUGGGCAACAGAGCGAGACCGUGUCUCAUAAAUAAAAUAAAUACCGCUGCUUGUUCUUGAGUCUGGGAAGCUUACACUUGCUGUGUCUUCUUUAUGAAAUCUUUGCCUAACCCAAAGUCAUGAAGAUAUUCUCUUACAUUAAUUUCUAGAAGCUUUUGUUUUACUUUUCAUGGUUCGUAACUAAACAAAGAAAAAAAAAUCAAACACUAAAAUGUGUUUAGAAAUUGGCUGCUGUGCAGUGAAACUUAAUUUAGGACAAAAAAAAAAAAAAAAA